rnacentral:rRNA from 1 species
UCCGUGCCAGCAGCCGCGGUAAUACGGGGGAUGCAAGCGUUAUCCGGAAUCAUUGGGCGUAAAGCGCCUGUAGGUUGCUUGAUAAGUCUGUCGUUAAAGCUUAGGGCUCAACCCUAAAAAAGCGAUGGAAACUGACAAGCUUGAGUAUGGUAGGGGUAGAGGGAAUUUCUAGUGUAGCGGUGAAAUGCGUAGAUAUUAGAAAGAACACCGGUGGCGAAGGCGCUCUACUGGACCAUUACUGACACUCAGAGGCGAAAGCUAGGGGAGCAAAAGGGAUUAGAUACCCCUGUAGUCCUAGCCGUAAACGAUGGAUACUAGAUGUUGGAUUUAUAGACAGUAUCGUAGCUAACGCGUUAAGUAUCCCGCCUGGGGAGUACGCUCGCAAGGGUGAAACUCAAAGGAAUUGACGGGGGCCCGCACAAGCAGUGGAGCAUGUGGUUUAAUUCGAUGCAACGCGAAGAACCUUACCAGGGCUUGACAUACUACAAAUCUUUUAGAGAUAGAAGAGUGCUUUCGAGAAUGUAGAUACAGGUAGUGCAUGGCUGUCGUCAGCUCGUGUCGUGAGAUGUUGGGUUAAGUCCCGCAACGAGCGCAACCCUCGUUUUUAGUUGCCAAUUUAUUGGUUUUUUUAGAAAGACUGCCGGUGACAAACCGGAGGAAGGUGAGGAUGACGUCAAGUCAGCAUGCUCCUUAUGUCCUGGGCUACACACGUGCUACAAUGAUGAAGACAAAGAGUCGCCAAUCUGCGAAGACGAGCUAAUCUCGUAAACUUCAUCUAAGUUCGGAUUGUAGGCUGCAACUC